UAGGAAUCUGCCCGAUAGUGGGGGAUAACCUGGGGAAACCCAGGCUAAUACCGCAUACGUCCUACGGGAGAAAGGGGGCUCCGGCUCCCGCUAUGGGAUGAGCCUAUGUCGGAUUAGCUAGUUGGUGAGGUAACGGCUCACCAAGGCCACGAUCCGUAGCUGGUCUGAGAGGAUGAUCAGCCACAUCGGGACUGAGACACGGCCCGAACUCCUACGGGAGGCAGCAGUGGGGAAUAUUGGACAAUGGGGGAAAGCCUGAUCCAGCCAUGCCGCGUGUGUGAAGAAGGCCCUCGGGUUGUAAAGCACUUUCAGCGAGGAAGAACGCCUAGCGGUUAAUACCCGCUAGGAAAGA
rnacentral:rRNA from 1 species